UACGAAGGGGGCUAGCGUUGCUUGGAAUCACUGGCGUAAAGCGCACGUAGGCGGAUCUUUAAGUCAGGGGUGAAAUCCUGGAGCUCAACUCCAGAACUGCCUUUGAUACUGAGGAUCUCGAGUCCGGGAGAGGUGAGUGGAACUGCGAGUGUAGAGGUGAAAUUCGUAGAUAUUCGCAAGAACACCAGUGGCGAAGGCGGCUCACUGGCCCGGUACUGACGCUGAGGUGCGAAAGCGUGGGGAGCAAACAGGG
rnacentral:rRNA from 1 species